rnacentral:lncRNA from 10 species
GAGGGUCACUGCGCAGAGUUGGGACUUUCCCUGACACGUGUAGGGAAAUCAGCCUCUCCUCUUGGUAUGGCCCUAAUAACAUGGAGAGGAAGGGAAGAGGGAAUAUCAAGAACGCUUCACAGUGGUCUCUUUCCAUCUUCCUUCUGUCAGGCAUUCUAAUAACUAUAUAUUUUUUACAUAGAAAAAAAAAGACUGGAAGAAAAGUAUCAAUUGAGAUGUCUCUGGAAAGUACCAGUAAUAAUUUUUUGUUUCUUCAAACUUUCUUAUAUUUUUAAUAUUUUCUACAGUGAGUAUAAAUUGUGGAGUAAAAGAGGAAAUGAUAAACGUCAUAUAUUUUUUAAAGUAUGGAGUUCAAGGCAGGUCGGUAGAGUACCUCCUAUCACUCCAACACAUGAUCUAAGGGAUCUUUGUAAAACACGAAAUUGAUCAAGUCACCUACCUGUAUGCAGCCCUUCUAUGGCUUCUCGUGUUUCCCUUUUGUAUACAACUGGAUUUAUUAAAUCUACCUUGCUAAGGUAGUUUUGAUGGAAAUGUCAGAGCAAACCCUCAACAAAUGGUGGCUCUUUUAUUUUUGUUAGUAAAUAAUCCAAGUUUCUUAGCUGGUCCUCAAGGCCAUCAGCCACCCCGGCCAUCAGCCACCGCACCCUGCGCCCUUCCUGGAUUGCUCAAGCUCCUUCUGGAUGUGUAGCCUUAGAAUGUGGUGUUCCCUCUCCCUAGAAAGCGUUUCCCCCACUCGACCCCACUCCAUCUGCAUUUGUUCGGGUCACUUCAGCAAGCAUAGAUUGUGAGGACCUAAAGGCUUAGGACUUGAAUGUUCAUCUCUCUCUCUUUUUUUUUUUUUUUUUUUGUGGCGGAGUCUCGCUCUGUUGCCCAGGCUGGAGUGCAAUGGCACAAUCUUGGCUCACUGCAAACUCUACCUCCCAGGUUCAAGCAAUUCUCCUGCCUCAGCCUCCUGAGUAGCUGGGAUUACAGGUGCGUGCCACCAUGCCCAGCUAAUUUUUGUAUUUUUCAUAGACACGGGGUUCACCAUAUUGGUCAGGUUGGUCUCGAACUGACCUCGUGAUCCACCCGCCUCGGCCUCCCAAAGUGCUGGGAUUACAGGCGUGAGCCACUGUGCCCGACCAUGUUCAUCUCUCUUAAUCCUCACAACCACCCUUGAAAUUGUACUACACUAUUAUCACAGAUCAGGAGUAGGGCUUAGAGUAAAUUAAAACAAAAAACAAUCAACCCUGUUGCAAGAUUACCUAUCUUGAAAGUGGCAAAGCCUAGGCCGGGCACGGUGGCUCAUGCCUGUAAUCCCAGCACUUUGGGAGGCCGA